AUUGAACGCUGGCGGCAGGCCUAACACAUGCAAGUCGAACGAGUGGCGGACGGGUGAAUAAUGUCUGGGAAACUGCGUGAUGGAGGGGGAUAAACACUGGACAAGGGAGAUUAUACCGCAAUCUAGCGUGUGUGCACAGAUGGGAUUAGCUAGUAGGUGGGUAAAAGGUCCACCUAGGCGACGAUCCCUAGCUGGUCUGAGAGGAUGAACAGCAACACUGGGACUGAGACACGGUCCAGACUCCUACGGGAGGCAGCAGUGGGGAAUAUUGCACAAUGGGCGCAAGCCUGAUGCAGCCAUGCCGCGUGUAUGAAGAAGGCCUUCGGGUUGUAAAGUACUUUCAGCGGGGAGGCGUUACCCGCAGAAGAAGCACCGGCUAACUCCGUGCCAGCAGCCGCGGUAAUUC
rnacentral:rRNA from 1 species